CAAAGAGUGUUAACCUCCCAUGAAGGGCCUUUGCUUUCAUUAAGCAUUUGAACCAUCGUUAAGAAAUCAGAUAAAAUAUAUAUAUAUUCUUCCAGCCAUACGUCACCGCUAAUUGAAUUGUUGUUCAUAUGCCCAGCCUUUGCUUUCCAACAAACGGAAUUGGACUACCAUAGGCAAAAAGGACGUCACCAUUAGCCUUUAAGGCUACCAUUCCAAU
rnacentral:lncRNA from 1 species